rnacentral:rRNA from 1 species
UGCUUAACACAUGCAAGUCGAACGGAAAGGCCCUGCUUUUGUGGGGUGCUCGAGUGGCGAACGGGUGAGUAACACGUGAGUAACCUGCCCUUGACUUUGGGAUAACUUCAGGAAACUGGGGCUAAUACCGGAUAGGAGCUCCUGCUGCAUGGUGGGGGUUGGAAAGUUUCGGCGGUUGGGGAUGGACUCGCGGCUUAUCAGCUUGUUGGUGGGGUAGUGGCUUACCAAGGCUUUGACGGGUAGCCGGCCUGAGAGGGUGACCGGCCACAUUGGGACUGAGAUACGGCCCAGACUCCUACGGGAGGCAGCAGUGGGGAAUAUUGCACAAUGGGCGGAAGCCUGAUGCAGCAACGCCGCGUGCGGGAUGACGGCCUUCGGGUUGUAAACCGCUUUCGCCUGUGACGAAGCGUGAGUGACGGUAAUGGGUAAAGAAGCACCGGCUAACUACGUGCCAGCAGCCGCGGUGAUACGUAGGGUGCGAGCGUUGUCCGGAUUUAUUGGGCGUAAAGGGCUCGUAGGUGGUUGAUCGCGUCGGAAGUGUAAUCUUGGGGCUUAACCCUGAGCGUGCUUUCGAUACGGGUUGACUUGAGGAAGGUAGGGGAGAAUGGAAUUCCUGGUGGAGCGGUGGAAUGCGCAGAUAUCAGGAGGAACACCAGUGGCGAAAGCGGUUCUCUGGGCCUUUCCUGACGCUGAGGAGCGAAAGCGUGGGGAGCGAACAGGCUUAGAUACCCUGGUAGUCCACGCUGUAAACGGUGGGUACUAGGUGUGGGGUCCAUUCCACGGGUUCCGUGCCGUAGCUAACGCUUUAAGUACCCCGCCUGGGGAGUACGGCCGCAAGGCUAAAACUCAAAGGAAUUGACGGGGCCCCGCACAAGCGGCGGAGCAUGCGGAUUAAUUCGAUGCAACGCGUAGAACCUUACCUGGGUUUGACAUGGAUCGGGAGUGCUCAGAGAUGGGUGUGCCUCUUUUGGGGUCGGUUCACAGGUGGUGCAUGCCUGUCGUCAGCUCGUGUCGUGAGAUGUUGGGUUAAGUCCCGCAACGAGCGCAACCCUUGUUCACUGUUGUCAGCACGUUAUGGUGGGGACUCAGUGGAGACCGCCGGGGUCAACUCGGAGGAAGGUGGGGAUGACGUCAAGUCCUCAUGCCCCUUAUGUCCAGGGCUUCACGCAUGCUACAAUGGCUGGUACAGAGAGUGGCGAGCCUGUGAGGGUGAGCGAAUCUCGGAAAGCCGGUCUCAGUUCGGAUUGGGGUCUGCAACUCGACCUCAUGAAGUCGGAGUCGCUAGUAAUCGCAGAUCAGCAACGCUGCGGUGAAUACGUUCCCGGGGCUUGUACACACCGCCCGUCAAGUCAUGAAAGUUGGUAACACCCGAAGCCGGUGGCCUAACCGUUGUGGGGGAGCCGUCGAAGGUGGGACUGGUGAUUAGGACUAAGUCGU